GUGCUUUGGGCCAGUGAUUCCUGCUCAUGUCUGCAGGGUGUCAGUGAUGGGGGAUCUGUGCUGCUCCCAGCCUGGCCUGCGAGACGUUCCUUGGAGCUACUUUCCUUGUCCCUCCACCUGGGAAAUCAGUCGGCCCAUCUCAACGAGCUCGGGCUGCAGAGAGGGCUGCGAUGGGGGUGGGAGGCUUGGGCCCCGUGGCCACGGCCUUGGGGUGUCUCUCUGCGGGUGUUUGGGGUUGCCAACCCUCCAGGAUUGGCCUGGAGUCUCCCACAAUCGGCAUCAAUCUCUUGGUGACUGUUGAAAGCAACCCGGGAGGUUUUAAUAGGCUAUUUUAAGAACAUGACAUUACCUCAUGUUGGGAAAAAAAUGUCCCUGGAAUAGCUUCAGUCAGAGUUGGCAACCCUAUGGGUGUUCGUUUUUCUGAUGCGGAGUCCAUCCCUUCUACCUAGGGCGAAGUCUGCAACAUGAUUAACAAGAAGUAUAACGAGUUCCUCCCGAGCAUGCAAAGCGCUGAGGACUUGGUGUCACAAGUGGACAGUCUGUCCGGCAACAUCGACCUACUGAAAUCCAGGAUCGAAAUGAGGUCCGGCAAGAUCUGAAUGUGGCCAUUGUGGAAUUUACUGAAUUGAAGCAGCAGCUGGAGCGAGACUGGUUAGUUCUGAGUGUGCUGAAACAGCUGCAAGAGGUGAGGAAGGAGGCUGGGAAAAUGGCUUCAGAUCGCAAAGUGUUUCUGUAUUUUGUUCCACUGACCUCUUCCUGGGUCUCCAUAGUGAAUAAAUAAUCAUGACUCUUC